rnacentral:rRNA from 1 species
UACGUAGGGUGCGAGCGUUAAUCGGAAUUACUGGGCGUAAAGCGUGCGCAGGCGGUUUGUAAGCCAGAUGUGAAAUCCCCGGGCUUAACCUGGGAAUGGCAUUUGGGACUGCAAGGCUGGAGUGCGGCAGAGGAGACUGGAAUUCCUGGUGUAGCAGUGAAAUGCGUAGAUAUCAGGAGGAAUACCGAUGGCGAAGGCAGGUCUCUGGGCUGACACUGACGCUCAUGCACGAAAGCGUGGGGAGCAAACAGG